GAGAGAUGCUGAGAUCCAAAAUCAAUAUAAUAAUGAGGUUACCCCUUUUGCCCAAAAUGAUAGAACCAUCUCAGGACCAGGAGUGGAGAGCAACCAACUGUUAAGGCAACCUCUCGAAUUCUCAACCUUGGAUCGAUACUAUGAAGAAUCAUCCAAAUUUUCCUCCUCGAUUAUAUGCCAAGGAGAACUCUUGGAACCUACACGAUCCCCUCAUCCUCAUUUGAGUCGACGCUCCUCAUCCUCAA
rnacentral:lncRNA from 1 species